UUACAUGUUCUUAUGAUGAAUUGGAAUCACCUGUUGACUUAUCAGAGUAAAAUCUGCUACAUUGGUAGAUUUUUAUGACUAAUGCUGUCUGUGGUUCCUGGCUAAUUUUAACCAGCAUAUGUGAAUAAUUUUAUUCGAAUAAUUCCUUGCUAUUCAGAUAAAUCCAUUCAAUGCUUCCUCCCGAAUAGCUUUAACCUGACUAAAACUGAAUAUAAAGGUGCUUUCAGUUUUCUGGAAUCUCAAAAGUUCUUUCGUUAUUGGGAUUUUAUUCAAGAGGAUAAAAAAUUGUUUGGCUGAGUAAAUCUGAAUAAAGUUGAAAAAUGGUGAUUUGUUCAGAUUUAUAGUUGAAAAGUUGUUAUAUUGUUCAGCUUUAUUUAGGUUUAUUCGGGAACCAAACAUGGCCUAAGUUGUAAUUUAAUUAAAUGAGAUAUCAGGAAACUCUAUGAUAUUUUAAGAGUAGUGAUACUCUUACAUGCGGAUCUAUUAAAUGACUUAAACAGACUGAUGUGGCAUUCUGAGAUGGCAUUGCAACAUCAGCUAUUUCUUUUUAAAAGAGAUGGCAAUAUAUCAAGUAGGUUUUUUGUAGCUCGUUGUUCUCUUCCCAUUUUCCAUGCCAUACUGUUUGUCACAUCUAACUACUUGAAGUCACAAUUAUUGUGGUCAUUGAUGGUUAUCAAGUGAUGGCAGUACCAGCUCUCUCACCUCACCCCGAUCUCCUCCCCCUCUUGACCUUCUCUCCCCCUUCCCCUCUUACCAGAAUACACCUACUCCCAGCACACGCUUCUUCUCUCUCCCUUCCACGGCGGUGCUUAAUGAUGGGAAGUCCUCAACGGCUCAACUCCAUCUUCAUGAAUCCAACAUCAAAGCUUUGUCCUCCAUCUCCCUAAUCCCUGACCUCUCCUUGAGUGGUCCAAACUAGACAUGUUCAUGGUCCAGGCCGGGCUUUGCCCAAAAAUUAACACAAUUUGCUGAGGUCCGAGCCGCCCGUCCUGUGGGCCUACUUUCCAGGUCCAAUUCUGGCACUUAUUUAGGCUUCGAGCUCAGGCCUUGGGCUUCCUUAACAAUUUUUCCCAAUUUCUGAAAAAUGCUAAAAAAUACUAAAUACGAAUAAUUAAAUGUUUCUAACAGCAAUUUCAAUGUUUAAAAACUACUCUAAGAAUCUAGAUCUUCUUGUAUUAAAUUACAUAUCAACAAAAUCUUUAAGUUUAAUCAUAAAAAUCUAGAGUUAAAAAAAUUUGGGCCAGGCCAGGCUUUAAUCCUCAAGCCCGAGUCCGGCCCAUCAACUUAAAACCUUGAUCCAAGCCCACCCAAAAGACUUUGGGCUUCACCAAGCUUUUUCCUCUAGGCAUCUUCGAGUUCUUCUACUCCAACCACUUUGACCAUAUAGAUAUGCUCUGCCAGGGUAAUCACUAAAAUGUCAUCAAUCCCAUCGAGCCUCGAGAGAGGAAGGCGUGGGGAGGUUUCUUGCUGGUGACAACGACGACAUUGAUGACUCUCAGUUGGAGAGAAGAUAGAAGGAAAAUGUGAGAACCAAGAUCACAUGAAGAGAGAAGUAGGGCAAGACGCAAGAGAGAGGGGAUGGGAUGCUUUCUGUUCCUUUCUUAAAGAUGCUGAAGUGGCAUAGUAUUUUUUGUUGUUUAGCUAUGUUAUGAUCUGUGUGUGCACGUACAAGUGAACAUGGAGCAUGCUUUAAUUUUCAGUAGUCACACGUUUGGAAAUUAGUGAUGACUGAGUAAAUUUGUCCACAAUUGCAAAUUGAUUUGAAACUUUGAAGGAUUUAUGGCAAACUAUUAUCAAUCCAUCAAAAAAAAAAUCAUGAAUGAACUUAAUUUGCAAACGAGCUUGUUCUUGUUUAGCAUAAAUAAAGAAUGGCCUUUUUUAUUUUUAUUUGUAAAUUACUUGCAUAAAUAGAUAUUGUAACCAAACCCCUCUCCGGAUUCUUCCAUUCUUCAGAUGUCAUAUUCUUUUGUUGUUUUGGGUUUCAAAGUUUAGAUCGAUUCUGGAUUAAAAUAGGUCUGACUCAAAAUCUUUAUCUACAUAUGAUCCUUGUAUGAUUUUACAUGAUUUUUUUCUCAAUUUACUGGUUCAUUCACAUGUUGGUAUAUAUAUUUUUAAUUUCACAUGCAGCUGCAUGCAUUUGUGGAGUAUGAAACUAUUGAGGAUGCUGAGAAUGCAGUAUGUUCUGAACUUCUAUCGCAACUGUGUUUUCCAUUUCAUGUGCACACUUUGAACUUCUUUGGCUGAAGGCUCUAUUUAUUACUGGGCAUACAGGUCACAGAGCUCAAUGAUGAGAGAAAUUGGAGAACUGGGCUUAGAGUUCGUAUACUAUCUAAAUGCAUGGUACUUCCACAUCAUUCUUACAGCCUUUCGUCUUUCUAACACAUUCAUAAUAGUCAUUUUUGUCAUUCAGUACCAAGAAAUUUUUUGUUCCUUGCAAUUACAGAAGAUGGCCUGGCUAAGGUUUGACGAUAUUCUGGACAUCAGCCUAUUUUAACUAGUAUAAUAAUUCAAAGUUAAUGGAUGAUAAUUGCUGGACUGCAUCCAGACUUUGUGAAGCAUGUAAACCUCCUCUCAACCCCUUAAAAAAAUUAAAUUGUUAAUUAAUUAAUAAACUUUGUAUUAAUGGACUAUUGAGUCAUAACUAUUUUCCUUCAAAAAAUUUCAGGGGAAAUAUGUCCUGAAUAUUUUAAAUUUUCUAUGAAUCAUUGUCCAGCUUUUGAUUUUUGUUUAUUUUUAUUUUGGACUGUCAGCUCGGCUUAGGCGGCUAGUGAGUUGUUUCAUCUAUUGCUACUUUUAGUUUUUGUGGAUGAUUUAAGUAGUAAAAUUGCUGUAUUUGUUGAUCAGAUGCUUUAGAAAUACAUGAGAUGUUGGGUCGUAACUCAUUCAGUCAUUUUCUAUUUAACUGUUUAAAAGUAUUCUGUAUAUGGGUCUGCAUGAUAUUUUAUCAAUGAGAUGUUUGGAUGUGAUGCUAAAUCUCUAUGUUGGUGGUGGUGGUGGUGAUUAGUUGAAAUUGUUGUUGCAGGUGGUCGCUUAGGCAGUAAAUGGGCCUUAGAAUGCCUAGGCGACCUUUGCCUAGAUCACCAUAACGUAAGCACCUGCACCACCCAAGUUUUGAGGGCCUUUCUAAGCAGCUGGGUGACAUCUAGGUGGUGAUUUCUGAAUAGGCGUUUGGCCAUUGUUUUAUGUGUUUUACAUGUGUUUUUUUUUCCUCUAUGCAUGUAUAUGCAUCUAGUUGUAUGUUGUAUGUGUAUGCGUAUGCAUUCGCAUGCACAGAGAGAGAGAGAGAGAGAGAGAGAGAGAGAGAGAAUUUGUGCGUCUCAGUGUGUGUUAAACCCUUUGUUUAUUUAAUAUAUACAAGAUCUAUAAAAAGGAAGCAGAUUACUGAGUGGAUGAUUGUCUUUUACAUUAAGUAGUUGCCUUCUGGGUAAUUGCUUUGUUGCCUUGUCAGUCACCUAGGCUAUAGGGCUUGGUCUGCCAACGUGUAUUGCCGGGCUUCUUGGGUUACAAGCGUCGCUCAAGUAUCCUAGUAUAGCAUGUAGAUGCAUCCAAGAUUCCCUAUAGUUUGUAACUGAGUUUUCUCAAUUCUUUCAAGUACAUUGAAUAUGCUAAUUAGGUAAAUUGUAAGUCACUUUGUCUUCCCUUUUCAAAACAGACAAAACAUGGGCCAGGUCAAGGCAGAAAAAUAGGACAUGAAGGUGAUGCAAAUGGAGAUGAAGAUGAAAUUGCCACAACUAAUCAGCCAACUGAGAAGCAAGUGGAGGAUCCAUCUCAGUCAUUUGAGGAUUUAAUGGAGCAUGUGGUAAGCCAUAUUCAUACAAUUUUUUGUCAUUGUCUGAAGCUUAUAGUGCAGCAACACUAGUCGGUCAAACCAAUUUGGAAAGUUCACUCGAGUUUUCAAUGCAUGCUAUGGUUGCUUUUUUUAGGGCAUUCUUAUUAAUGAAAUAUAUAAUCUAUUGAUCCUUCAUGCUGAAACUGAAUUUGUCUCAUCUAGCCCUGGAAGGAGUACUGAAAUAUGGUGCAUCAUGGACAGGGUGAGGAGAAUUUCAAUGACAAGGAUGGCAUGGCAAGGCGCAGCAAGGGGCGGGGACGUGGAGGAAAGGGGCGUGGACGGGGGCAGUACCACCAUAAUGACAACCGUAAUGGGGGCCAUGCUAUUGGCACCCCACCUUCAAGCCACCUAAUCCAUGCUGUUCAGCAGCCGGCGGUUAGCAAGCAACCACCCGGACCUCGCAUGCCAGAUGGCACAAGGGGAUUCACAAUGGGACGAGGGAAGCCACUUAACCCCAUCAAUACAGAUUGAUGGCCUUCAACAUUAGCUUGAUGGCGCUGUACUUUGUUAUGUUGAUUGGGGUGAUUUGGAUAAGAGGGUCUGGAGCAGUGAUUAUCAUCAGGUUUAUCAAUUGCUGUCGGCAUGGUGAGCAAGUGUGAUCUUGGACUUGAUUUCAAAGGAGAAUUUUUUUUCUUUUUUUCUUUUUUUUGAUCCUUGCUCCUAUUUGGGGGGAGUUUUUAGGUGUCCUCCAGGACUGAUGUCAGUUUGUCCUUGUCACCUUGUUACAUUGUUUUUCCUUCUGAUGCUAUUUGACAGUUUAUCAUGUGAAAAUGGAAAGAAAGAAAAUCUAGGAGAGGUUGAACUGGUAAAUGUAGACUGAUAAAUGAUGUCCUCUUGAAUAAUUGAUAUAUUUGUAUGUGAAUCUAUUAUCUUAGCUAUAGAAAAUAAAGCUUGUCAAUAAAUAGUCUUGCUUUGUUUGCCUCUUUGAAUUUUAAUUUGUAAUAAUUUCAUUUUGAUUUUGAUACAGACAAUUAUCAUUAGCUAUAAUUGGCAUCGCAUAAUGUUUGUGCUCCCUUAUGGAGAUGGAAUUUGGCAUCCCCGGAGAAAUUGGAAUUACUUUUCCCCAAAAAAAAUUUGAAGCAAGCAAAAUUCUCUGAACGUUGUCCAUCUGAUAAUCUUGACCUUUCAUCAAGUAUUUGAAGCAAAUCUACGGCUAGCUUCGUCAACACGUCGCGUUGGUAAUGGGAUUGGACAGAUAGCCCAAAAGGUGCAGUUGCAUUAUUUAGGGCAUGUUUGGGGCCUUGCUGUUAUCUCCAACAGGAUCCACGAGAGACGGGAAGUGCCGGGAAAGGAAGGGACCGAGCAGGAGAGACGCAGGGCCCGAUCCCAACCAUGGUAGAGGUUUUUUUUCUUAAUUCCUGAAGGGAAGGGAACAUCCCCAAUGAUCCCCCCCGCACACACCCUCUCUCUGGCUUCUGCUCCCCCACCACCCCCAAAAAAAUACAGAUAACAGAGUACUGAAGUCAUUAUCGAUAUCUGCAGAAAGUUAUUACCGAUACGAGGAGUUACUUCGCAUAUAGUCAUUAGCAUGGACUUUAGUAGAGUGCUCUAAUUCUUGAUUUGCGCACUUUUUGAUGGUGGAUUUUGUGAAACAUUUUUGGAGUGGACACGGAACUUUAGUUCAACUUUUUAUGCAUAUUGUUGUUAGAGCAGAAAAAAAGAAUGCGUUCCCAUAUAAGGUAUUAUCCGCUUUGGGGGCUGAUCAUCAUCGGGCCACUGGCCUAGAUCAGGCGUUAUAUAUCCCUCACAGGUUUUUCCUUCAAAAGCCGCCUCCUAACGGAAAGAAUUUUUGCCCUUCCAUUUAAGGCACAAUUCUUUCCGCUAUUCAAUUGAUGUGGGACUAAUUUAUCUGUUAGAUGAGAAAAAGGGAUGCAUCCCCACAGGCGGUAUUGUCCGCUUUGGGGGCAGAUCAUCCUCGUGCUAGCGGCUUAGAUGGGGCACCAUAUACCUCUUACGGUUUUGCCCUUCAAAAGACGCCUCCUGAGGGAAGAGGUUUUUGCCCCUCCAUUUAAAGCACAAUUCUUUCCGCUACUCAACCGGUGUGACACUAAGUCCAAAACCCCCUCCACCCCCAACAAUUAUUAUUAUUAAUUUUCUCUCUCCAAUUUAUUCUUCUUGCAGAUUUUUUUUCUAUUGUUAUUGUUGAGAGUGAUCCUAAGCUGGUUGAUCUCAUUCUGCAAGUGAUCGUGCCUUUCUACAUACUAUCAAACAAUACGUAGAUUUUCUAAGUAGAGAGCAUAUAGAUCCAUGUGCAACAGUUUUCUUAAUCUUUGAGACCAAGAAGCACCUAUGAGGGCUCUCUUCUGCAUCUAGCAAGAUAGAACAAUUGGAUGCAGCCUAGGGCACUGAAAUUGCCCUUAAAGUAACAAGAGCCUUGUCCUUUCCUAAGGUUCAAUGCUCCAUAGACCACAAUGAAUCCAUUGGCCAGCACUCUCUUCCUCUCCUUAAGUACUGAUUGGAUAGAAUAGAAAUGCGUCUUCUGUUAAGAACAAAGAUAAUAAUUAAUCAGCAUGGCUUUCCGCAAAAUCCUCAUCUUUUUUCUUUUCUUUUCUUUUCUUUUUCUUUAUUUUUUCUUUUUUGUUUGGUGGAAAUAAUGGUGGGAACACCAGCUAUGUAUUUGAGUUCAAGCUUGGAACCUCUCUAUUGGUUUAUUCUUUUUUUGUUGAGUAAUUUAUGUUCCUAUAUUUAUUAUGGUCUUGAUAGAGUUUGAUGCGCAUUGCUUAACUGCUAUUUAAUCUGGGGAAGUCCUGUGAGGACACUGAUCUCUAGCUCGAAGGUCAAGCCCUCAACCACCGAGCUACAUGCAAUACACAUUUUUAUCUUAUAUAAGGAAUUUGUUUUACUUAUUUACAUAUAUUUGGAUCAUUCAUUUGAUAUAAAUUAUAAUAUUUCAUAUUUUAAUUAUUAUUUUUUAUUAAAAAUUCUUUUCUCUUUGAUAAAAGUGAAAAAUGAACAUAUGUUAUUUUAUUCUUUAUGAUAUUUUUAAAAUUUUAUUGUUAAAAUAGUUAAAAUUAACUCCAAUAUACUUCUAUUCAUAUAUAAUUUUUCUUACAAGCUUUCUAUGAAUAGAUAGUCAUGAUUAUUUUAUUUAUUCUAUAAUUAGAAGGUAAUAAUGAUAUUUGAUAAAAAUAACGAUAUUUUAUAUAUAUGCUUUAUCUUAAAUAAUUUUUAUUAUCAAUAUUUUAAAUAAAAAUCUAAUUGAAUUAGCAACCUAGCUAGAUUCUUGACUAGGUCAGUCUCCAUGUCAAUUUAGGAGCUAUACUUUAAAUCCUUAUUAGUUUCCAUCCUUUAUGAUUAUAUAAUUAAUAUCAGUUUUCAUCACUAAAUUUUGCUAAAACUUCGGUUUAUAUUCAAAGAAUAUUCGGCUUAUGUUUUAUAUUAGGAUAGAAAAAAAAGUAUAAAUAACGUCUAACUUAUUUUGGCAUCUGUUAAGAACAGACAUCCAGUUAAAACCUUACUGUUUGUAGUGCAACCUGGUGCAAUCAAGGAAUAAUUAUCAGGUUUAAAUAAAAAAAAGAAUAAGUAUCAAGACUCUCUUAGAGUCGCAAAGAGUUUAGAUGAAAGAACAAGAUGAUAACUUUUGAUAUGAGAAUGUUGCGUUUAUCACAAAGGAACAAAUAUGUUAAAUCAAAAGGAGGUCCAAUAAAGGUGUCUAUUCAUGAAAUAAUUAAUUAAAUACCACUUCAUCUGUAACAUAGUAAAUGUAGGACCAGCAAAAAGUAAUGUAUGCAGAUGAAAUGUGGAUUUCAUAAUAAAGGCCAUGGCUAAUGCUAUUAUACGUUUUUCCCCUCAAAAGAAAAAUGUUGUUAUUUAUCUUAAAUUGCACCAUAUUCUCUAUAAUAUGAACACGAUGGCUAUGCCAUCAUUUUACUCAAAAAAAAUAUAUCAUUAUUUUUUUUUGAAUUUAAAUUCACGGUUCUUUCUUCUUUUUCUUUUGAUAAAAAAUUCAUGGUCUCAAUGUCGCGAAAGUCUAAAAUCUAAUUAAGGUAACCGUAUUUUGGUAGAUCAUAUGCUUCAUGGUGUGUAUGUGUUAAUCGAUGGCGGUUUCUCUAAACUCGAUUGACCUAUGUUAAUAUACAUCAGAAGAAUUAGAGUGAAAAAAUAGGUAGAGCAUAGCUAAGUUAUUUAGUACUUCAAUGCCAUAAUUAAGUAUAAUAAAAAAGCGCCGCUUUAAGACUUAUGACAUGCCAUCUACUUUGAGAACUAAUACUUGAUAUAAUUUAGAAUAAUCCUCAAAGAUGGAGAAUUAACCUGUACCUCGGAGUCCUUCCAUCAAUCCUCAAGGUUGGUGAAUUCCACAUGCUCUAGCCAUAAUUUUUUCCCCUUGAAACAAAAUUAUCUUGGUCUCCGAAGGCUCACUUGAAACCUUUAGAUAGAUCGCACGUGUUCGAAUUUGAGAGAUCUAUUUGCUUAAUUUCCAAGAACAGGAUAUACUCUUGAAGGAUUCAUGGUUGCACUUCCCUAAAUAAAUAAAAUUCCAUCUAGCUUUGCCAAGGUAAGGAAGAUGUUCAGGUCAGUGGAAGUGAUAAAUUCUUGUUCAACUUCUCUAGAUCCUUAGCUCUCAAUCUUUAAUUCAUGCAAUUACAUUAAAAGCCUCUUCGGCUUUUACAAGAGAGUGAAUUAAUUGUAACACUGAAGUCCGCUUCGAUCCCCUCUCCACAUCAAUAGAUCCAUGUGCAAACAUCAAAACCCAUGCAAAUCAUAGACUCAACGUAAGCAGGUAGUCCUUAUCUUGAACUGAAACCAAGGUUAGUCCCUUUCCCAGCAUUCUCUUCAAGGCCAGUGUUAAUAUCAACCUAUAUCUUUAUUCAUCUAUUCCCAAUGUUGCAUUGAGAUUUCCUACGCUUAGAGCCCCUUGACUUCAAGGUUGUGCAGGAACUACUCGAAUAAAUAAAAGAGUCCCACCACAUGCACGAGCCACAGACCUCUCACUCUCUCUCAGCCUUCAAUGUCUUUAAUGGGCACGAGACAGAAAGGAGUGUAUUUAGGGAGCAUGAUACGGGGUGCAAUGGUGUUCUCUCCUUUUCUUUGCUCAUCGUUUCCUUCCCCUCAACAUUUCCUCCCCCUCCUCUCACUCUCCAUUGCUGGGAAAGCGUGCAACUCGCAAGACUCCAAGAAGGAACAGUCAAAAUAAAGCCCAUGGUCUUGGCGCUUUCCCAUAAAUGCCUCCAUCCCCCACCAUUCAAUACACCCCCUCCUCCCUCUCAUCUCUCUCUCUUUCUCACUCUCACUCUCACACACACACGCAUUUUUAAAACAGGAUUGAUCACAGUUAUCUAUGUGCAUACCUCUGUUCCCUCCUAUGGACAUUUAAAUUGUUCUCUUUGUAGGGAUCAGAGUCCAUUACUUUACUCUGGACCGCUCUUCCUGGUGGGGACUGGAGUUGAUUUGUCUCUCUUUCUUCCUUCUCUCUUGAGGCCUUAAAUGCCUCUCUUUUCCCACCUACACAUACACCCGAGCGCGUGGGGGUGUCGGAAUAUCCCCCGACCCUCGAAGCCGUCCCUCGCAAAUACCACCACACAUACUUCCCAACUCCAAAAACAAAAACCCACCCACGCCGCGGGAGCCGUGCGGGAACUUUGAAACGUUGGAGCUGCGCUUCUCUUCUUUAUUUCUUCCAUUAAUGGCCCAUGAGGCUACCCAUCCAUGCACGUGGGUGUCCGUCGUGGCCCUCCAAUCAGGGCCGUACGCUGCAUGUGCCUGAUUAGACGCAUCGUGGGUCGAGGAGGGGCGGCUUUGACUUGGGCCGUGCUCUUCUUUCCUGGUGGGUGGAGCCCACGGAUCGCUAGCUCCUGUCAUGCAUCUAGUUCACACCCCUCUUUUUUUUAUUAUUUUUUAUUUGAUAAAUCAAAUAUGCCGCACCAUCCUUGUAUAGAUAUAUUUAGAAAAUAAAAAUAAAAGACUCAAAAAUUGAGCCGAAACGUCUGUUAUGGAAUCCCAUAAUAUAAUUCUAAUAUAGUUGGCCACAUGAACCACCAUCCAAUCAAUUAUACUAUUAGCUUCUCAGAAAGUCCAUUAUUCGCCAGCAAUCACAGAAGAAUGAGAUUUGAUUCUGCAGAUAACGAAGUUAUGCUCUAAAUGAAUGUGGGAAGCUCUUAAGUUUCUAUAGCAUGAGUCAGGUCUUUCCAUGCAAUUUUUUGAAUGCAUAUGCAUAUACAUAUAUGCCCAACUCAAUGAGGGCAUAUACCAAGGGUCAAGUAAACUAGAACUGUGAAAAAGCUACAGUUGGCCGGCUUCUGUUUGGAUCCAUUACCCCAUAAAAAGUUAAAAUUCUAAUAUUAUUUCUUAUUAAGUUAUGAAAAGGGGGGAAAUAUUGGACAUCUUCUCCAUUAGCAUUUUGACUUUCUUGUGUAUAAAAUCCACCAAAGCUCGUACCAAUAUAUAUAUGAUAUGUUGCAUAUAUCUUAAUUCGACUGUAAAUUCAUAAAUUAAAAUUUAUGACACUUAAAGGUUUCUUUCUUUCAUUCAAAACAGUGGAUGAUCCACCGUGCUUUUCAUUGACAAAUGAAUUAUGCAUAAUAUCGAUCUUAUGAUAUAUUAAUGGUUCAAUUAUAUCUAAACAUGGAGGAAAGCAGAAAAUUGAGAGCAGUGUUAAUGGAUCCAAGAUUACUUCACAAUUGCCUACUCACUGAGCUAAGUUAUUGAGACGUGUGUGAGCAAUAGCAUAAGCAUCGAAAUGAACAAAUUAAUAGGCUUGGCACUAUGGCACUCCAACUUGAGCUCGUGACUUUUGACCCGGAGCAUCACUAGAAAGACUAGCAAAAAUAUGUGAGGUGCUCUUCUUGUUACAAUAGACUGAGAGCAUAUAGCAUGAGUCAAAAUGGUGAUGCCUUCAUGAGUCCAACCAGCAGAAUUCUUUAACGAAUGUAAGGAACAUAAACUAUUCAAUUUGACUUCCACAUUUCUCCAGAAGAGUAAAACUAACUCGGUACCAUUUUUGUUUUGCUAAACAUUCUGCAGUCAACACAUGCGCGACCAAAGUCCUGUAAAAUAAUGUUGUGAACAUAGCAUCAUGUGGAGAAGAAAAAGGAGUUAUCAAAGUGAGCAGUGGCAUAAAAAAAAUCUUGAACAUCUUUACUAUCAGUUGUUCAAGCCAACUUAGACCGGACCAUGCCGAUUUGAUUCGCAAGUUCCAUGCAAAGAGCAAAAACUUUUUUGGUUUCGAAAAAAAAAAUCACUAAAAUAUUUUUUCUAAAGAUCUGUUGCCUAAAUAUAUGAUAUCUAAAAAAAUAGUUUUUACAUGUUUGAUUGACUAUGAAAAAGUGGCAUAAUAUAAAAUUUUUAUAUUUAAUUAAACAUCUAUUUUUUUGGAAAAAUUAUGUGAAAUACUUAUUAUACUUUUAAUAAAAAAAUCUAUUGAAAACUUAAAGGCAUUUUUAAAUAAAUAUAUAUAUAUCUUAAUUUCCAAGCAGUGGUAAUUAAUUUUUUUAUAUUUUAUAUAAAUUUUUUCAUAAAAUAUAAAUAAUAUUUUUUUUUCAGCUCUCUCUCUCGUACCUUUUUUUAUAAUAUUUUCAUCUCUUUUGUCUCUGUGAAUCAAAUGAGCUCUAAAGCCACCAAGGUGGUAACCUGGUGGUAAGGGGGCUUGAACUCCAUCCAAGUUGUUUGGGUUCAAAACGUGCGGGCGUCGAUUAAAUCAGGGAACCGCAUGCCCCACGCUCGGAUGGCUCUGUAUGGAUAUACUUUCCUUCCAUCAGUACUCAGGUGGCGCUGUGGUGACGUACUCACAUGUGAAUGGCCCAAUAAGAUUUUCCACGGAUUGGGGAGGGCAUACGAAAACUUGUAAUCCACAUUGAAUAUUUUCUGGCGGAAGGGGGCAGUUGCAGGUGGGUUCUGCCCCUCCCUCUCCCCUCCAAUUUUUUACCAAAAAAAAAAUAAAUCUAAAAAGUUAUGUACAAAAGUACGGAAACAGCGAGCACCAUACAUGGAUAUAUGGGUGAACAGGCACGUUUAUAUCCCCCGUGUGGUCCCACCUGAGUCGGGAAGGGCAGAACGAGGGGCGCAGCAGGAGACGUGAGCAGGUGGGCAUGCAUUUAAGGAUGGGAUCAUCAUUGCUUGGGUACAUCAGCUUUGACUAUCUUUUGCAUGUGUGCAUAUCUCUAGAGACAUAAAGAGAGAAACAAGUGUUCUCUCUCCCAAGUCUCAGCUUUUCUUUGGAUUUUUGCUAGCUGGCGGAGAUUGGUGACGGUAAGAAUGCUGUAUGACAUUAACUUUCUCUGCAGAACGGCAUUUUGGGAAGGCUUCAUGGCUCCCUUUAUCGAUGGCUCUCUCUCCCUCUCUCUUUCAAAGUCCUUGUGAAAUGUCUCCUGCUCUCCUCUGAGAAAUGCCUUCUGCCUCCUCAAAUCCCCAACUGAUCUCCCUACUCGUGUCACUUUUCCAUCACUCCACAAAGUCACGAGAGAGCGAGCCAAAAAAAGAAGGUGAAUCGUAAACUCAUUCGCANNNNNNNNNNNNNNNNNNNNNNNNUUUAGAGAACGGAAAAAGAAAGAACCUUGCAGACUUGAGCAGAAAUGGGCGACCGCCAACUCAAGAGGAAUCAUUAUAAAACCUCUCAUGCUUCCCAUAAAUGUUUUCAGCUUCAACUCACCGUACUAAACUUUUGGGCUUCCCUCAAAUGCUUCUCAGUCUCCAUCACAAUUGAAUCGGUCAAUAUAUUCAUUCCAUGUACCUUUGUCUUUGGAAAUUGACCACCAAUAUGGACUGUGGUUGACCUAGCCAUAUGAUGGUGAUCGGUGGGGACUGAGACCUAGCUUUCUUAUUGACAAGCAGCAAGACAAUAUCUUCUAAAGGCCGUCAGAAUUUAAUGGGUACAGAACUAAUGUAAGAUUUGAUAAUGAUGGGAAAACUGAUGUCUGCCGAAGGAAAGGUAUCAUCACAUCGACCCUAUUAUAGAUUUCCCAACCAUCCUUGCCCAUAUAAUACAUUCUGUAUGGAAAUCUUCUUUCCAUGGGAUAAGCAUUCCUUGACUCAACCACAUGAUGGUUGUCAUGAGACCUACCUUUCUUAUUGACAAGCCUCGAGCCAAUAUCUUCUCAUGACCAUCAGAAUUUUAUGGGUACAGAGCUAUGGAAGGUUUGAUAAUGAUGGGAAAACUGAUAUCCACCUAAAGAAAGGCAUCAUAUGAUGGAUGUUUAUAAUUCUAUUGUCAGCACUUUGAUCCUACCCAAGAUUCCACAACCAUCCUUGCCAAUAGAAUACAUUCUUGCAUAUAUGGAAAUCUUUUUGAGUGAUAAGCAUUCCAUGCGUGGUUUAUUCAUCAUGGAAAUAGCACCCAAAUAUUCCAACAGAUCUACAAUUUGUUAUAAGAUGCAAGAAGAAAGAAGAAAUCCAAUCCACCAAAACAAUGCAUUAAAAGUGGUGGAUAUGAUUCCAAAACAAACAGCUCCAGGUGGGUCCCUUCUGCAGUCAAGACAAUAUAUGUGAGCUAAUGGUAAAUUUUGGGUCAAAGUGGUAGAUUUUCUUCCCCCCCAACAAAAGCAAUUCUUCUUUCUUCUUUGCAUCUAGAACAAUUUGAAAAUAACUUACAAAAUUCUGUUAGCAGGUAAUAAAUAUCAUUACAACAGAAAAGGGUAAAGGAGUUCAAAUAAGAAAGCCACGUAUCCAAGGGAGGAAAACAGCAACUAGGACUGCCACUAUAACAAGCACUGGGAAUACAAAAUGUCCAACUCGCUAGAUCAAGAAGACAGGAUAAAAUAAACAGCACUGAGAGAAAACAAGAGGGAAAAAGAAAAAUCUAUUUUCUGUAAAUGUAUUGAAACCAAAAUCCAGGCCUCUUUGUCAAUUCUAACUCUCUCUCAGUUUCAUCAGCAAGGAUCCAUCCUUCCAAGUCCUAUACCUGCAGCUCAACAAUAUACAUAAACUUAAGUUUUAGAUUUUCUGAACACAAAUCCAAAUAAUGCAAUUUUGCAAGAUGCUUUUCUGGAAGGAUUUUUUUUUACACUAGUUUCUGUCAAUGAAACUGUGAUCCAAAAGUGUAACCUGAUGAAAUUUUCAACAAAAAACUUGGAUGUCAACAACACAAUAUAUGGUUGUGAUCAGGCAUGGCAUGUACUCACAAGCACCCCAUGCCAAAGCCAUAACAAAUUUGUCUUCAUUGUGGAAGAAACGAGAAGCUGGAAGAAGUAUUUUUAAUAGUAGAAUUUCCAUUAUAUUUCCAAAAUAAACAUUCUUCUUUUUUGUUUUUUGGGAAAACAAGUGAGGUCGUGGAAAUAUACGUCGAAAUUAAUAACGAGCUUCUCUUUGGAGCAUAAUAUAUAUCUAUUUGGAAUAGAGGCAGAAAUUAAGAUCCACCAGUUAACUUAAAAUGAAAUAUAUAUCUUAUUAUAACAAAAACUAGCUAGCCGACCAUUCAAUUUUUAAGCCUUUGAUUCUGAAAAGUUCUCUACGACGAAGGGCCAAUCCACCUUAAACUCCUUCCUUCAACACACAGUUAUGUUAUCUGGUCCUAUAGUGUGAAUGCCAAUAUCCUAGUUAGGUAGCAGCAUAAUUUACUCCCAACUUCUCCAAGCAAUAGCUUUAUGAUUCAGAUUCUCUUUCCUUACAGUAGCAAAUUAAGGAUUCUUCAAAAUUUUAACAAAAAUUUCAUCAUGCUAUCAUUCUUCUAUGCAUUUGAAACAUUAUCAUGACUGGAUACUUCUAAUUGCUCGCUAGUUUAAUAUAAGAGCAUGUCAGAGAAUGCCAAUUCCUUCCUCUUGUACUAACAACUGCCGACUUCCUUUUACCUGCAUAACUUAAGAUUCUCAAGAUGCUCUAUAUUACAUGGUUAAGAUCAAAGCAGGAACGUGGGAAGAUAUAAAAAUAUCUCGUCAAUCUUGUAAGAGAAGCGAAAGAUUAUUAGCAGCUAGAGGAGUUUGAAGCACAGAACUCUCCAUCUCUACGGUGCUCUAGAAUCGGCUAACCAUGUUAUCCAAAAUGACCUUCAUCUCUUAAAGCGUAACCAUUCAAAGAUAACUGGCAGAUAUGUCAAACUUAAAGAAUGAAAUAGACAAAUCAUCGUCAUUAACUCGCACUAUGUACGUAGUAUGAAUUACUCGAUGCAGAUUAAUUCCAGAUUAUCUACAAUGAUUUUUAUCUACCAGACUGAGUUCGAUCAGGUCUUAGAUAAUUACAUAGAACAGUGCAUGGCUACACUACUUCUCCCAAUGUAUUUGACCUACUUAAUUGAAACCCACCACCUCAUAUUUGAGCCAAAGUAGCUAGUAACUUGUCACAAAUUCGUGAUAACUGCUAAAAUUCCGCUCUAUUUCUCUUCUUAUCAGUUAUGAAACUAACAUUACAUGUAUUUAUAUCAUCUCAUCACUAUAAGCGAUGCCCUACCAGCCUACCAACUUCGUACUCUCCUAGGAAAUUAUACAUGUAUAUAUAUAUAUAUAUAGUUUGGCUACUUUUACAUAUACGAGUACUGUUACGAUAUCAUGCAGCUAAUUACUCUCAAGCUAUUACCUUUGACUGCUAAUGCAGAAGAACUACCCUUGACACUAAAAUCAAAUAGAAGCAUACUGUUAUCAUAGAAGGGGAAGCAGUGAGAAAAUAAGGGUAGUAAAAUAUAUAGAGACCUGCGAGGACAUCUACGACGACGGCCGGACGCUCGGCCGCUCAUCCUUGCCCGGCCGAACUUGGCUUCAUGAACUGCCCACCCAACGGCCCUAUGCUCGCAGCUGACGCAUUCAGGGCGGCGACAAGUCCUGCUGCAUCAUACGCUCCAUUCGCACCCAAUCUCGCCACCAGCUCGCCGUCAUAAUUCCUCAUCAUCAAGUGGUGGUUGGGACGGGGGUCCCGGGCAUUUCCCGCCGGGAAGAGCUGCUCCCGGCCGAACCCGAUCCCGCCCACCCCGAUUUGGUGAUCGGCACUAACGUAGCCAUGCACGCCGGCGCUCGGCAGCCCGCCGCUGAAAUUGGGGGCGGAUGAGCCAGCGGCGGACUUGUACUUGGAGAGCUCGGACUUGGCGCAGGAGAGGUCCAUCUGUAGCUGGCGGAGCUGGUGCUGGAGGAUGGAGAUGACGCCGACGCAGCCAUAGACGGGGUCCCGGAGGCGCAUGUCGGCCUCGUAGGCGAGCGAGUUGACGGCAUCCUCCCGCUGGUACGGGUGCAGCUCGUUGAGCAGCUUCGUGACGUUGCUCGCGCCGAAGACGCGGUGCACGUGCACGAACUUCUGCGGCUGGUCCGGCGGGAAGUAGGGCGCGAAGACGCAGUCCGGCUGGCACUUGCGGCGGAGGAACUUGCAGGCCGCGCAUGGCGAGCUGGCCGACGCGGCCGUCGAAGAUGAUGCCGCAGCCGAUGACGCCGGGACCGGGGCUGACGACGACGCCAUCACCAACUAUCCCUUCCGAUCUCUUCGCUCGAAUACCUUUUCAUUACAUGAUCGAUAUAUAUGAACGAAAGAAAGAAAGGAAAUCGGUAUAAAUAUGGCAAGAAGAGAGAGGGAAGGUUUGGUGGUGAAACGAUACGUGAUCGUUUAGAAUAUGGGAUGAGAAAAAGGGAAUAAAAAGAAAAAGAUUUCGAUCCUGGAAUUUGUUUUGCCGACAAAUCCCACGAUCCAACUGUAAAGAUAAAAAAAUCUUAUAAUUGGAAAGGAUGAGCAGAGAACAGAGGCGUCCAGCGUUCUUCUCAAAUCUACCAUCUGCAGCUUAUUCUAUUUUAUUUUAUUGAAGUUUUCGAGAAGGAGAGAGCGACCAGGAGUGGGACGCGUUGGUCUCCUAUGAGUAAUUUAUUAGUGAUUUUUUUUUAAGCAAUAACGAGAGAUGUAAAUAAAUAUCUAGCAUGAGCAUUUUUCUUGGAGUCGAUGGUUGGAAAAGAGAGAAAGAGAGAAGCGAGAAAGGGCGGCUAUCGGAUCCGACGGCGACGGCGACGGCGACGGCGACGGCGCGGUUAAAAAGAGAAAGCUCACCUUUUUAUUCUUUCUUGUUUGGCCGGGUCCCGCCCUCCGCUCUUCGCUGCGCCUCCUUUUCGCCUCCCUCUUUUUUAUUCUCCGAGUAAGCGAGGGCUGCACUAGAUUCGAUUGGAUUAAAGCCAAAGCCAGCGGAAGGGAGGGGAGUUUGGGAGUGGGACGGGGAGGAGAGAGAGAGAGGGAGAGAUAAAAGAGGGGGAGCGAGGCGAGAGAUAAGCGGAGGCGAAGCACAGAAAGAUGGUGGAGGGGAGAUGGAAAGGCGAAAAAUAGGAGGAGGAGGAGGAGAGAGAGAGAAGGAAAUGGAUGUAUAUGUGUUUGUUUUAGUCACGCGAGACGGGAGCAGGAGAGAACACGGCGGUGGGAGAGAGAGCUGGUUUCUCCUUCUCCCCUCUCUCUCGACGCUGGGGAGUAAAUAAGGAAGGGAAUAAAUGGGAUUGGGGGGUCCCGGAAGGACGACUGGGGUGGUCGCAUGGCCAUGUCUCAAUGAUUUGACGCUUUCGCCCCAUUCUAAACCCAUAAUCUGAAAUAACGGCUUCACCCUCUUCAUCCGUGGUCCUUGUAAAUUUAUUUUUAAACAUGCAAUUUUUUAUUAAUAUUUGGCAUGAAAUAUUAGUAUAGAAAUUAGUGUUUGAUUGGGAAUAUUAGUAUAGAAAUAUUAUACACGAUAGAAGAAGUAGAGGGAGAAAGAUUAAGACUAUAUGGCAUGGAUACAAAUAAUCUGAACAAAUUUCUAUACGAUAUUACUAGUUUACUUCUCUUUUUAUUUAGCAAACCCAAGCUAUAUAGGGUUUGUGUCUGAAAAAUAAACCUAGUGAGAUACUAGGAUUAUUUGGAUCCUGAAAUUAAAGCCAAUGUAUUAUAGGGUUGGGCUUGAUUUUAGGUGGACCCAAACCCAAAUUUCAGAAUAUUAUAUGAUUGGCUUUGGUGAUUGCUUGACGGCUCUCUUAUCACCAUCCAAGGUUUGACCAUAGAAGCAAAAGGUUUGUAGUUAGUCCAUCUAUUCUAUCCAUUCAAUUUGAGCUUCUCUAUAGAAGAUGAUAUGCUAAAAUGGAGGUUAUAUAUUUAUAUACAAAUAUAAUUUAUUUUUAUUUUUAUUUUUUUAAAAAAUAAUUAGUACAGAGUAGUUGAACCAUAAUUCACUUGUUCUUCUACAUUCCUGUCCAUGGCUCAUGGUUUGAUAAUCCGAACCAUACUAGUUCAUCUGAAAAAUGAAUUAGGUUUGCUAGGGUUAGAUUUUGAAAAUUUAUUAUUUGCAGAAUUAAAUAGUUUGGAUUUAGUAAGACACUUCCUGGAGAUAAAUAAUAUACAAGAAUUUUAUAAGAUAAUUAGAAAUAUAAGAAGAGAGAUUAAUAAUAUCUAGCAUAUCUCGAAAUAAUUUCAGCAAAAUCUAAACUAUGCAGAUUAGUUCAUUACUUCGAACUGAUUUUUAUUUUGCCUUUGUUUUCGCAAUUAGGUACCUAUAAACUAUAAUGAGAUCGUUUUAGCAAUUAGUUACCUAUAAACUAUAAGGAGGGUAAUAAAUGUUAUAACAAUUUUUUAGUCCUCCAUGUAGGUAUAGGAAUGUCAACAAGUUGAUCCACAGGCAACAUUUUAUGUCAUUUCAUGCUAAGUCAAUUCAGUCAGGAUCAUUGCUCAAAUUUUUGAAUAUGCUCUUAGUGUAGCCCAUGACAUUUUUAGUCAUGUUAUAUGGAGGGUAAAAUAGAUAUUUUACUGCACAUGUGAAUGCAUCAGACCGCACCUGGUUUACAACUCUACAUGUAAGUGUAUCGGCACAAAAAUAUUCAAAAAAUCUAUCUUUUCUAGUAAUCCCAUAUUUUCAUGAGGCUCCAUAACAUGUGGCUGCAAUAUUCGCACUUCUAUAAUAGUUCUAUAUACUUUAAAUAAGGGAUUUUUCUGCAUAUAUAUCUCUACUAAUCUGACUUAUUCUAAAUGCAUUCGGUAAAAAUUACUGUUUAGUGGUUGCCAACCUAACACUCUUAUAAUGCUUCUAUUUUAGAUAGUAUGGUUUUUUGCAUAUAUGUAUAUACAAAUAUAGUUUGCUGCAAAUGUAUCGUCAAAAAUCAAUAUUUGCAUAUAUACACAUCAUUUCAGUCUAUCAACACUAGCAUGCUUGUAAAAUUUUUGGCUAUCAAUAACAAUAUCCAUCCAUCCAUCCAUCCAUCCAUAUAUAUAUAUAUAUAUAUAUAUAUAUAUAUAUAUAUAUAUAUANNNNNNNNNNNNNNNNNNNNNNNNNNNNNNNNNNNNNNNNNNNNNNNNNNNNNNNNNNNNNNNNNNNNNNNNNNNNNNNNNNNNNNNNNNNNNNNNNNNNNNNNNNNNNNNAUAAUAGAAUUAUCUUAUACUUAAAAUGACUACAUAUUGAUGCCAACAAUCAACAUUGUAACAUGAUGGGCAACACUGCAAAAUAGUGUAAAUCAAGAGCAAUAUAUGCAAAUACAGAUUUUUGAUGGUUACACAUAAAUAAACCACAUUGUAGGGGUAUGCAUGUGAAAAUUCCUAAACCAAUAUAUCCCUCAUGAUUCAUUUUUCAUUUUGUGUGUGAGAAACUAGAGAAGUGCACAUUCUAUAAUGAGACUGUAAUUAUCCACAAAAAUGACUUUAAUCAAAUUAAAGGAUUGCAAUGAUCCAUAGUAGAUUCUACAUGCAUCGCACAUGCCAAAUUAUAUUAUUUAUUAUAUAGGAAGCAUAGCAACUAUUCCUGUAGUUAAAUAUCUUUAUAAAUUUUAAUCCCAAGAUAAUUCCAAAAUCAAAUUUUAUCUUUCUCGACAAAACCAAAAUUUAUUCUUGAAACAGUAGCAUAAUAAGAAACACAAUUAUUUUAAGUUAUAUUUUCUUUUUGAGAACAAAGAUGGGGUCGCUCCAAUCAUUUCAAAUAAAUGAUGUAACUUACUCGGGUCAAAUUAUUGUCAGAACAUAUUUGCUGAUUUAAACUUGUAAAAUCCUCCAUUGGAGAAGAGCUGCAAUAGCUAUGUUUGAAGUCCAGUUUCCGACUAAUAAUUUUAGUUAUUUCUUUUACAAACACAUAUCUAAUUGGCCGCCACUAUUAUGAGAUACUACUACUACUAUUAUUAUUAUUAUUAUUAUUUUGGAUGGAGUCCACUGGACUUAUUCAUUCAACUGUAUCUCUCCAGUACAAGUUUUGUAAUUUGCACGAUUCUUUCCUCUCAAUUAAUGAGUGGCCCUUAGGCUGAGACAGAAUGGUAUUAUUGAGAGUGGCCCUCUCUCUCUCUCUCUCUUCNNNNNNNNNNNNNNNNNNNNAGUGGCCGUCCUCUCUCUCUCUCUCUCUUUCUCUUCCCCAACCCUGCUCUUCACUCUUAAUUGAGAUAUUAAGAGUGGAAAAUUAAAUGAACCUUAAGGGUGGAAAAUUUAAAAGUGAAAAUUAAACGAACCUGGGUUUAAAUACAUGUAUGACAUUAAAUGCAGAUAUGGUAUGAUCCUCUCAUCACCUUAUUAGAUCCCUCUGCAUUGAAUGCAAUGAUAGCCACAACUCAUAACACCUCCAUUCCCUCCCCGACACAAAAGCAAAUAGUAAUGAGAAUAAUGACGACGUUAUCGCUAGACUGGAUUUAACAGGAGGACAUGGAAGAGGCAUGCUGUGGGUGGAUCCCUCCAUUUAGAGCGAUGGGGUCAGGAUGGCACAUCAAAUAUGGUGACCCUUCGACGGACUUUGCGCUCUGCCAUGGAAUAAUAAGCGGCCAAGCUAGCUCGCAAUUAAUUUCUUUUACAUAUUCUACCACUUGAAGUGUCAAGCUUCUUCGUGUACAUGCCCAGAAAAAUUAAACUAGAUAAUUAUUAUUUUUGAACCUAAAUUUUCUAUGUAGAUGUGCAUCAUAUAUACUUUUGAUAGGAAAUUUCAUGUUCACAAGAAGACACUCUCAUUCUUAAUGCAAACAUUACAAUGAUGUAUGUUUUCAGCAGCACACACACACAUAAAAGAAAAGCUGCUAAAAUUCAUAAAAUUGUCUCUAAAUGUUUAUAGUGAUAAACUCGUGCUUGAGAGGGAAAGUAGCCCUUAUAGACACCAUAGUUAAAGUUUUGGCAAAAAUAUUUAUAUUUCCAUACUUCAAAAAUUAUAGAGGCAAAAAGAAAUUGCCGUUGUAAAUAGAAACUUUUAAAAGAUACUUUUUUGUCACUAUAGAAUAUUUUAGAGCAAAUUAUUUUUUCCGUUAUAUAUGCAAAUUGUUUGUAGAGGCAAAUACUAUUUGCCAUGAUAAAACUCAUAACUGAAAAAUUAUUGUUCUCGUAGUGAAACUUAACUCUUUCAAUAUGAUGACGAGCCGAGGUUAAAUUGAUUGACUAAAUGGUAUAAGUAUUGUUGGAAUUUUGAUUCUAGCUGACUUGAAAUAGUGUGAGAAUAUAUAACAUGUGCCACCUGCUUAAUUAUGUACCAUUUUAACCUACAAAGGGUCUAUCCAUACAGAUAAUAUAUAUGCAUUGUGCAGCAUCAAAUGCAAUGAUUCGAUUUUCUUCAUCCUACUGGAAGUUUCACACGAUGAUAUUUGUGUUAAUAAUGACUAACCAACACAUGCACUUGAUUCAAACGAGGUUGUAACUCUAUAAUUACACCCCUCCAUUUUGAAGUCAUUCUAGGUUCAAACUAGGUUGUGUUUUCUCAAGUGUUUGGCAGAGAUCGAUUUUAGUGUUCGUGAGUAUCGACACUAGGCCUGAUAAACUUAAAACCUACUUGCACUUGACCAAGACUCCAUAUGAAAUGACUUGGAAACUUUUGGGUUCAUUAUGCUCCAAGGUUAGAUCCUUAAAGCAUCUUAGGUUAGGACUCUUAUACCUCUAUGCUACAUUUAGUUCCCGAAAUGAGUAUUGGAAUGGAAGGGAGAUUCUAACUCCGGCCCCGCACACGCAUUUGGUAUGACAAUAAAGGAUAGAAUCAUAUUUUCUUUGAAAUAAUUAUUCUUUCAUUUGAUGAAAGGGCAAUUUUACUUAUACAUAGAAGGAAUUGUUAUUCUCAUGAAAAUAGGAAUUAGUGAUAUUGUUGACAAAAUGGUAACAAAUAGCAUGUUUUGAUAAGAAUUAAUUAUCUGUGAUCAUGAUAUCAAAUAAAAAUAAAUAAUUUAGUAUACAUUUAAUUUGACACAUUAUUUUAGUAAAUAAAAAUAUCAAAUAGCAUGCAUUGUAAUCUUAUAUCAACCAAUACUUACAAAGUUUUGCUUUGUAUCAUAUACAAAUAAAUGCGCAUUGGUGCAAGUUAAAGAAAAAAGAAAGAUAUAAAUAUAAAUUAUUAGAUAGGAUUGAAUACAAAAGGCAAAAACAUAUUAAAUAAAAAUAACAAUUAAUAUAAAUUAAUAAAUAAAAUAUAAAUGAACUAAACAUUAAAAAAUAAAUAUAUCAACAUAAAAACUAAAGUAUAAAAAUAUAAAUAAUUGAUCUUAAAAUUUAAGGUAGUGGAUUUAAAUUAAAGGUAUGGAGAAUAGUAAAUAACAAAUAAUUACUAAAAUAUAAAACCCAAAAAUUUAAUAUACAUUUAAAAAAUUAAUAUAAAAUAAAUAUAUAAUCAAUUAAAUUAUCUAUUGGAAUUUAAUUGCUAUUUUUUUUACCUGAUAUUUUUUUUUAAGUGUAUAUAUAUAUAUAUAUAUAUCAAUCUCAAGCUCACCUUCGGAUAUCAGGUAUCAAAAUUAUCAUUAUCAUAAGUUAAAAAAUUUUUAAAAGAAGUUAGCUAUUAUGAUACGAUGUAAAUUAAUAAUAAUCCUCUUAACAUGAAAAUUCACAAUCCUACAUGUAAGGAAAAAAAAUAAACAGCUGCGUACUCUUAUAUGCAUAUGAUAGCACCAGCGUUUAUGCCGCGACAACUAGUAGAAUCAAAACAAAAGCAAGACGGAAAAGAAAAAGUUAGAUCCUUGAAUGCGUGAAGGUAGGGCAAGGUAAUGCGGAGAAUGCCACGACUCAACUAUGUUUAAAAUCCUUCUUAGGGAUGGCACGUGUAACCCGUUAUAAGAGUCAGGGAUGUAGAGAGAGAGAGAGAGAUAAACUAGACAGCUAGGAAGAGAAGACAGCUUGGAGGGAGAGGAUAUUACAUGUCGAAGAAUGAUAUAGAAAACAUCUCAAUUGUGCUAGCACGAAACUAGCUUAUCAACGCUGCUGUUACACUAGAAACAGUCUCUAAGAUCUAUAGGCCAAUUACACUCUCCACUAUUCUGAAAGCCUCAUCUAUGUAGGUAAGGCAGGGUGGGCGAGCACACCCUGGCAUGCUACUACAUGUACAUGGAUUAGACGGCUCGGAUGGUGUUGUCUUACCAUAAAUGAGCUCUUUUCUCCACGGACUCUCCCCGCUUUGCGCACGAGUUCUUUCCAAUUUAAACAAAAAAAAUUAACUACUUUUAUAUGUAAUCCAUUUUCGUCCCCAUUUUUUUAUUUUCCCGGAAGCAAAAAGUGAUAGGGAGGAUCGCGUACUUCUCGCGAGUGCAGAGCGUACGACGGGGGACGCGGAAAGGAAGGCUGAGAGAGAGAGAGAGAGAGAGAUCCGUCCCUUCGAGGUGACCCGUCCUUAAUCUGACCGUGACGUAGACAACCCACACGCCCCGCCGGGCCACCGUCCGGUUUUCAGGUUGACUUCAAGCAUCGGCUGCCGUGAAGUAAAAAAGAAAAGAGAAAUAGCGACACGUCAACGUCAGUACGUUCCUUUCCUCGCGAUGCGUGCUACAUAUAUUUAUAUAUUUAAACUUCUUCGCUUUAAAAAAAGCUUUUACCCUGCAGGAGUUUCUUGGGGGAGGGAAGGGUAGGAGACAAAGGUUCAUGGCGUUGGAAGAAGUAACCGUACACUUCGCCUAUCGAUUUGAUGUAUGUUCUCGGCUUCACGUACUGAUAUGGCAAGAUGAGGGAGUCUAUGGGGAUUUACGUUUUGCCUUUUGGUUGUUAGGUGUGGAGGGAUUACGGGGCGGUGGGGGGACAAAACGGAGGGAGGCUGUGGAUGGGGCGGUGGAGUUGUCGCAAACGGAUGUGGGCAUGAGCCAUCCCAUCAUAGGGAUCGCCAUGGUUGCAUCAUGGGUGAUGGAUGCUAAUGUUGCUCCAUAUAUGAACUCCCUAAACUUUUUCUUACACUAAGCAAAAAAAAAAAAACUUUUUACUUACUCAUGCGUCAAGAGAUGGUUGGUACGGUAGAGGAAAGGGCGGUCGGAUCUUGUCAUGCUAUGCCUGUGCAAUGCUGGCAUCAAGAAUUAAUACCUUUUGAAGGAAGACUUCCGCUCGUUCUAUAGCUUUGAAACUGGAAUAUAGGUUUGCAAUGUAGAGUGGCGUUACGUGCCGUGGCAUAUGUACCAGUAGUUGCUCAGAGAUUCCAUAGCUCACAGCAAUGAUACUGACUCGAAAUACUUUGAGAUUCCUAGCCUUAGAUUUUUGAUUGCGGGUUUCUCCAGGAUGUUGCUGCAAUAAACACUAAAGAGAAGCACUGCUGCAUCAUAGGGAACAUUGAUAAGCACGCCAUAGUAACCCCGGAUCUGGAUUCCCUCCAGGAUGGUAUAAUGGAUUAAAUAUUGCUGGUAGUUCAAUUGGCAAUGAUGCAUGUUUGGUCAAUUAAAUUUCAUCGUUUGUGUGGAUAUUGCCUCUUCAUGAUGUUAACCAAGAUACAGCUACAAUCAGGAUUGAAAAUAACCGCUUCGCAGUGACCAACUGAAUAUAUUAUUGACAUACAAAAACGGGUCAAGUUUCAAUUCUUAAGAACUUAGCCCUCCGAUUAUGAUGAUUUUGCCACUUUUUAUUGGCUAUUUUUUUCCUAAUAACCGACGCUUUAGCGAGACUUGAAUACGGCAAGAUACAGGAAAGGUUUUAAGAUUAGUUCAUUUUUGGAAUAGACAUCCAAGAACUGUAAUUUACUGAUUUGAACGUACGUCCACCCGGUCUGUCCUUGCUGACCAUUCUUGUCAUCAAAGAAAGAAUGUGUUGAACCAUCGGUGACUGAUUGGGGACCCCUUUCCCUUCUAAUCUCUCUCCUUUUAUGUUGUUUCUUUUGCUAUUUCGCGUGUAGUGGGUAGCUAGGCGUAGAGAAAUAGAUGUGAUUCGGUAUUUUGUUUACGUUUAGUACUUGCAGCACCAGAAUGAGGGCAUUCUUCUGAAUUCAAGUGAAGCUCUAGCUUUAAGAGGUGCCCUCUGGUUGAUAGUAUGACUAUAAAAAGGCCCAUCCAAAUAUGUAAGCAACAAAAUCCAACCUGUACGUAACAUAGUACCACUGAAAAAUGAUACCUCAAACACAUAUCUAUAUCCGUAUCUAUAUGAAUCAUAGACUGAAUAUGGCUGGGGAUAAUAAAAUUCAAUAUACGACUCAAAACCUAAUACGUUUAUAUAACCUACUCUACAUGCAAGAUCAUCUACAACCGCAUUAUGUCCUGAGUGACAUUAAGGAGCCUGUCUCAUAUGCAAUCGUAUCCUUACGAGAUCUAAUAAAUCGUGCACUGACUUCUAUUCUUUGUAGAACGUGU
rnacentral:lncRNA from 1 species